GUAUGGGGAUCUGCCCGAUAGAGGGGGAUAACUACUGGAAACGGUGGCUAAUACCGCAUAAUGUCUACGGACCAAAGCAGGGGCUCUUCGGACCUUGCACUAUCGGAUGAACCCAUAUGGGAUUAGCUAGUAGGUGGGGUAAAGGCUCACCUAGGCGACGAUCUCUAGCUGAUCUGAGAGGAUGAUCAGCCACACUGGGACUGAGACACGGCCCAG
rnacentral:rRNA from 1 species